rnacentral:misc_RNA from 1 species
UUUUCCCGUUUUGACUUUUCGAUGAAGAACAUCAUCAAUUUUCGUUAUGUGCAGAAUUUAGCGAACAGUUUAAAUAGAUGUGCUUGUAUAAUCCAAUUCAGGGAUUUACACAAUCAGAUAAGAAAUCUAACCUCCGUCCAGUGGUUUUCCAUGUUCCUCAGAAAGAGACAGCCCUUCAAUGCCGCUAUCGGUUGAUGCGGAAGGAGACUCAUGACUGGAACCAGGCUUUCUGGGCUAAUCACAAUGAAAGGUUUUUCAAGGAAAAGGAAGACUUUGUGAGAAGGAAGCUAGACGACAAACAACAGACAGUGGACAGUGCUGAGGCCCGACUUUCAGCCGAUGAACUCUCUGAAUUCUACAAAGCAUUCCUAGACAAAAACUAUCCGCUCCAUGCCAACUACAACAGAGAGUGGUAUCACAAGAACCUGAGACUGUUGUUUCCAGCUUUCCAAGUUUUCUUAGAAAAAAUAUAUAAUAAAUUAUUUAAAAGGUG